AGACCGCGGAGAUCUCCGGUCGAGUCGUGAUCACUGUUCCUCRUGRACGGGGCGCMACGGCCACCCGUCCCGUCCGAUUCAUUCGGUGGGGCGGAGUUUGAGCACACACGUUGGGACCCGAAAGAUGGUGAACUAUACCUGGACAGGACGAAGCCAGAGGAAACUCUGGUGGAGGUCCGCAGCG
rnacentral:rRNA from 1 species